rnacentral:rRNA from 1 species
UACGUAGGGACCAAGCGUUGUCCGGAAUCAUUGGGCGUAAAGCGCGCGUAGGUGGCUUCGUAAGUCCGUUGUGAAAGUCAAAGGCUCAACCUUUGAAAGCCGAUGGAUACUGCGAAGCUAGAGUACGGAAGAGGCGAGUGGAAUUCCUGGUGUAGCGGUGGAAUGCGCAGAUAUCAGGAGGAACACCGAUGGCGAAGGCAGGUCUCUGGGCCAUUACUGACACUGAGAAGCGAAAGCAUGGGGAGCGAACAGG